rnacentral:rRNA from 1 species
GACGAUUCAGAAUAACUCAACGGAUCGCAUGGCCUUGCGCNGGCGACGGUUCAUUCAAAUUUCUGCCCUUUUAACUUUCGAUGGUAAGGUAGUGGCUUACCAUGGUUUCGAUGGGUAACGGGGAAUUAGGGUUCGAUUCCGGAGAAGGAGCCCGAGCAACAGCUCCUACAUCCAAGGAAGGCAGCAGGCGCGCAAAUUACCCAAUCCCGACACGGGGAGGUAGUGACAAUAAAUACUGAUGCGAGGCUCUUUUGGGUCGCGCAAUCGGAAUGAGUACAAUUUAAACCUCUUAACGAGGAACAAUUGGAGGGCAAGUCUGGUGCCAGCAGCCGCGGUAAUUCCAGCUCCAAUAGCGUAUAUUAAAGUUGUUGCAGUUAAAAAGCUCGUAGUUGAAUCUUGGGCCUGGCUGGCCGGUCCGCCUCACCGCGUGCACUGGUCCGGCCGGGCCUUUCCUUCUGGGGAGCCCCAUGCCCUUCACUGGGUGUGCGGGGGAUCCAGGACUUUUACCUUGAAAAAAUUAGAGUGUUCAAAGCAGGCCUUUGCUCGGAUACGUUAGCAUGGAAUAAUAGAAUAAGACGUGCGAUCUUAUUUUGUUGGUUUCUAGGACCGCCGUAAUGAAUAAUAGGGAUAGUCGGGGGCAUCAGUAUUCAAUUGUCAGAGGUGAAAUUCUUGGAUUUAUUGAAGACUAACUACUGCGAAAGCAUUUGCCAAGGAUGUUUUCAUUAAUCAGUGAACGAAAGUUAGGGGAUCGAAGACGAUCAGAUACCGUCGUAGUCUUAACCGUAAACUAUGCCGACUAGGGANCGGGCGAUGUUUCUUUAUUGAC